rnacentral:rRNA from 1 species
UACAGAGGGUGCGAGCGUUAAUCGGAAUUACUGGGCGUAAAGCGUGCGUAGACGGCUAUCUAAGUCGGGUGUGAAAGCCCCGGGCUCAACCUGGGAAUUGCAUUCGAGACUGAAUAGCUAGGGUACGGUAGAGGGAAGUGGAAUUUCCGGUGUAGCGGUGAAAUGCGUAGAUAUCGGAAGGAACAUCAGUGGCGAAAGCGACUUCCUGGACCAGUACCGACGUUCAGGCACGAAAGCCAGGGGAGCAAACGGG